rfam:Fukomys damarensis contig125802, whole genome shotgun sequence.
GUCUAUGGCCAUACCACCCUGAAUGCACCCGAUCUCAUCUAAUCUUGAAAGCUAAGCAGGGUCAGGCCUGGUUAGUACUUGGAAGGGAGAUAAUAUCACUAAGUGAAACAAAUCAGACAGAAGGGUAAAUGCUGAAUGCU